CAGCAGCCGCGGGAAUACGUAGGGUGCGAGCGUUAAUCGGAAUUACUGGGCGUAAAGCGUGCGCAGGCGGUAGUGUAAGACAGGUGUGAAAUCCCCGGGCUUAACCUGGGAACUGCGCUUGUGACUGCACAGCUAGAGUAUGGCAGAGGGGGGUGGAAUUCCACGUGUAGCAGUGAAAUGCGUAGAGAUGUGGAGGAACACCGAUGGCGAAAGCACUCUGCUGGGCCGACACUGACACUGAGAGACGAAAGCUAGGGGAGCAAAUGGGAUUAGAUACCCGUGUAGUCCCUGUCUCUUAUAC
rnacentral:rRNA from 1 species